CCUGUCUUUCCUCAGAGGUUGCACAGUCUGUUCUAUGCUUCAAUGACUCUGGUUCUAUUUUUGUUCAUCAGUUUAUUUUGUUCAUUAGAUUCCACAUAUGAAUGAGAUCAUGUGA